rnacentral:rRNA from 1 species
UACGGAGGGUGCAAGCGUUAAUCGGAAUUACUGGGCGUAAAGCGCGCGUAGGCGGCUGGGUAAGUCGAUUGUGAAAUCCCCGGGCUCAACCUGGGAAUUGCAGUCGAGACUGCCCGGCUAGAGUGUGGGGAGAGGGUGGUGGAAUUCCCGGUGUAGCGGUGAAAUGCGUAGAUAUCGGGAGGAACAUCAGUGGCGAAGGCGGCUUCCUGGCCUGUUCUUGACGCUGAGGCGCGAAAGCCAGGGGAGCAAACGGG